GCGAAAGUAGCUCAGUUGGCAGAGCACGACCUUCCCAAGGUCGGGGUCGCGGGUUCGAGCCCCGUUUUUCGCU
rnacentral:tRNA from 1 species